GAGUUUGAUCAUGGCUCAGAUUGAACGCUGGCGGCAGGCCUAAGACAUGCAGGGCGAGCGAGAAAGCACUUCGGUGUGAGUAGAGCGGCGGACGGGUGAGUAACGCGUAGGAAUCUACCUAGUAGUGGGGGAUAACAUGUGGAAACGCAUGCUAAUACCGCAUACGCCCUACGGGGGAAAGAGGGGGACAUUUGCCUCUUGCUAUUAGAUGAGCCUGCGCAAGAUUAGCUAGUUGGUGGGGUAAGGGCCUACCAAGGCGACGAUCUUUAGCUGGUCUGAGAGGAUGAUCCGCCACACUGGGAC
rnacentral:rRNA from 1 species